rnacentral:miRNA from 15 species
GGGUCGUGAUUUGUGCAAAUAUG